GACGAACGCUGGCGGCGCGCUUAACACAUGCAAGUCGAACGGAAAGGCCUGCUUUCCCUUGUGGAUUGCGGGUACUCGGGUGGCGAACGGGUGAGUAACACGUGAGUGAUCUGCCCCCAACUUGGGUAUAAGCCUGGGAAACUGGGUCUAAUUCCCGAUAGGACUGCAGGGUGGUGCCGGUGGUGGAAAACGAUUUUCUAGUGGUUGGGGAUGAGCUCGCGGCCUAUCAGCUUGUUGGUGGGGUAAUGGCCUACCACGGCGGCGACGGGUAGCCGGCCUGAGAGGGUGGACGGCGACAGUGGGACUGAGAUACGGCCCAGACACCGACGGGAGGCAGCAGUGGGGAAUAGAGCACGAUGGGCGGAAGCCUGAUGCAGCGACGCCGCGUGGAGGAUGACGGCCUUCGGGUUGUAAGCUCCUUUCGACCGCGAGGAAGCCACCUGGUUGGAAGGGUGGUGACGGUAGUGGUAGAAGAAGCACCGGCUAACUACGUG
rnacentral:rRNA from 1 species